rnacentral:piRNA from 1 species
GAGUCAGUUGUGCCCUAGGCAGGAUGGCC